GUCUCCGGCCAUACCACCCUGAACGCGCCCAAUCUCGUCUGAUCUCGGAAGCUAAGCAGGGUCGGGCCUGGUUAGUACUUGGAUGGGAGAGG
rnacentral:rRNA from 1 species